rnacentral:rRNA from 1 species
CCUACGGGUGGCAGCAGUGAGGAAUAUUGGUCAAUGGACGAGAGUCUGAACCAGCCAAGUAGCGUGAAGGAUGACUGCCCUAUGGGUUGUAAACUUCUUUUAUAAAGGAAUAAAACGAGGCACGUGUGCCUUUUUGCAUGUACUUUAUGAAUAAGGAUCGGCUAACUCCGUGCCAGCAGCCGCGGUAAUACGGAGGAUCCGAGCGUUAUCCGGUUUUAUUGGGUUUAAGGGGAGCGUAGAUGGGUUGUUAAGUCAGUUGUGAAAGUUUGCGGCUCAACCGUAAAAUUGCAAUUGAUACUGGCAGUCGUGAGUACAGUUGAGGUAGGCGGAAUUCGUGGUGUAGCGGUGAAAUGCUUAGAUAUCACGAAGAACCCCGAUUGCGAAGGCAGCUUACUAAACUGUGACUGACAUUGAUGCUCGAAAGUGUGGGUAUCAAACAGGAUUAGAUACCCGAGUAGUC